rnacentral:rRNA from 2 species
UUUUUGGUUAAUAAUUUAAAGUCUAAUCUGCCCACUGAUAAUAUAUUAAAGGGCUGCAGUAUUUUGACUGUACAAAGGUAGCAUAAUCAUUAGUCUCUUAAUUGGUGACUUGUAUGAAAGAUUUGAUGAGAUAUAUACUGUCUCUUUUUAAUUUAUAAAAUUUAAUUUUUUAGUUAAAAAGCUAAAAUAUAUUUAAAAGACGAGAAGACCCUAUAGAGUUUUAUAUUUAUAUAAAUUAAAAUUUUUUAUAAGCUUUAAGAUUUUAAUUUAUAUAAAUAUUUUGUUGGGGUGAUAGAAAAAUUAAAAUAACUUUUUUUAUAAUUUUACAUUAAUAAAUGAAUAAAUGAUCCGUAAUUUACGAUUAUAAGAUAAAAUUACCUUAGGGAUAACAGCGUAAUUUUUUUUUUUAGCUCAAAUAAGAAAAAAAGUUUGCGACCUCGAUGUUGGAUUAAGAUAAAAUUUAAAUGCAAAAGUUUAAAAUUUUUGAUCUGUUCGAUCAUUAAAAUCUUACA